CAUUGCGUCAGCAGCUGGCGCGCCCUCCAUCCCCAAGAGCUAACGACUCAGGGCUGGGUUGCGACCGGAAUAUAACUCGGUUCCGAUUUAGGCUUGUGCGGUCCUAGACUAACCUGCAGGAUUUUAGUCUGUAGAGUUCCUUAUUAUUCAUUUUUUCUUAGACCAACACGAAGAAUCAUCGGCCACACUAAAGAUGGCGGUAGCCGCUUUACCGUGGUAACGGGGAAGUCAUUUGCUAAAAACCUUGACUCUUAUAUUUUAGUUCCUCCCUAUGAGGGAAGGGAAGUGCUUGGUCCCGCCCCAGCAGCGUGCCGAAAACCAGUGCUGAGAUUAUGCUGAGUGAAGUAAGUCAAGCAGAGAGAGUCAAGUAUCAUAUGGUUUCACUUAUUUGUGGAGCAAAAGGAGUAACACGGAGGACAUUGAGAGAUGGAGAGGAGAAGACCCAGUCUAGGAUACCAUGUUACGUUCUUGUUAUGGAUCCUUUGGCUUCUGUUGACUGUGGUAGUUUCACAGAAUUUCUUUGUUUCGAUGACCUUGACAGUAUUGAGGAAUACUACUCAGGAAUACUUUUGAUGUGACCCAGUGUGUGUUUUCCUUUGAGAUCACCGCAGAGAAGUUGCAAGUGGCAUCACUGCCUCGUACUGGAGAAGCACGUGUGGGUCUGU